rnacentral:rRNA from 1 species
UACGGAGGGUGCAAGCGUUGUCCGGAAUCAUUGGGCGUAAAGAGUUCGUAGGUGGCAUAUUAAGUCUGGUGUUAAAGGCAGAAGCUCAACUUCUGUUCGGCACUGGAUACUGGUAAGCUUGAAUGCGGUAGAGGUAAAGGGAAUUCCUGGUGUAGCGGUGAAAUGCGUAGAUAUCAGGAGGAACAUCGGUGGCGUAAGCGCUUUACUGGGCCGUAAUUGACACUGAGGAACGAAAGCCGGGGUAGCAAAUGGG